UACAAAAUUGCUUGACAACCAAUACGCGUUCGUUUUGACGCGCUACUGUGAUUUCACGAACUAACACAAUCUACUUCGAUUGUGUUAGUUCGUGAUGUGAGCGACGCUAUAUAGAACAAACAAUUCUCAGGAAGAAACAAAAUAUACACUACCAAGGUUUCAUCUCAACAGAUUUAUGAUUCUGAGUUUGACUCAGCAUAGAGUGGUGUCACAGUUGAAAAUGUAUUCCCUUUAUAUUACCGUAUUGUUAAGCAUGAAGUAAAGUUACAGACACAUGCAUCGAAGCGUAUAGAUUAAGGUGAAGGUAUAAGCAAUUGUAUGUCUACGUAACGACGUAUAUGCAGCUUACACGGAUUGCCACGUAUGCACUAAACUAUAUAUAUGUAUAUUAUGAGAAAAGGGCGGGUCGUAUAUAAGGUCUAUCGAAAUUAGCGUUAGGGUAUUCUGGUUAAGGAAUGAAAGAACCAUAGCCUAUAGCCGGGUGGUCUUACAGAAAUUGACAGGCUGAUGAUUGCCACUAGUGGCGGAAGGGGCAAGAGCUUAUGGAAUCAAUGAGAAGAGAUAGGGGAAUGGUAUCCGGUCUAAACAGGACCAGGAAACGAUAAAAGCCCCACCCCGGCAGGCUAGAUAGGCCAUACAGUUUGAUAGGUACCAACCCAGCCGUACACGGCUGUGGAUUGAGAACAGCUGAGUUAUUUUGUACCGUAAUGAUAAUCACGUUCACAGACUGUAAGAGAUUUCCUAAUUAAAAUAUUGUUGAAAUGGCA